ensembl:lncRNA
GUGUGCCUACAAAAACACACUGUUUUGGGCCAACUUUCCAUCGUCACAUUUGCAGCCAUCUGAAAGCCAGAGCCAGGCUUUGGUGCCGGAAAUAUAGCAGAUCUUCUAAAUGGAGGAGAAACUUCCCUUCUCAGCCUUCCCAGCUUCUGAGGGUGCUAAGCACCGUGAGGUCAUCCCUGGAGGAUAAGCUUCUUGUAACAAGGUUUUCUCUCCCUAGGUCUGGAGUAAAUAGGGAGACCUUCUUCCAAAGGUGGCACUGCUGGCUAUUCAAAUGAAUACAGAGAGCUGACUGUGAACGGUCAUGUUCACAAACACAUUUUCCUUUACUGGCAGAGCAUCUGAAAACAUACCUGCGAUUACCUUGGAUUUGGUCAUGAUGAAAAGACAGUGAAAGUUUAUUCUCAAGUUGCACUUCUUCCUUUCUGUUUUUGGAAGCAAAAUGACCGACAUGCAGCUUUGCCAUGGUUGAUGAUGUGACUUUGGCUCACAGCCCAGAAGAAUGUCACUGCCCGACAGGAUGAGGAGGAGAGAACCAAAAUCUAGUGCUGGAGAAUUGUAAACCUGUGUAACAUUUUUUCAGCUGCUUUUGAAACCUGGUGGCAUGAAUGUGAACAUGAGAAGUGUACCAAUAGACCUCUUAUUUUUAAAUCGGCUCUUGAACCACAACCAGUAUAUUUCCAGUGCUGACAUUCUCUCUCCAAGUAUCAGUAAGUUUUGGCAACUUCUCUAGAGCACAAGGAACCAGGAUCUCUGCAAUCCAGGAUGGUGUCUGAUAGACAGGAGGAGAGCAGGCAUUCUUCGCUAACCAUGCUGUCCUGCCCGGCUCUUGCUUCUCCCUGAAGAUAUUCACUAAAGGCUGCAGUGCCCAAACACCAGGGUGACCUUGUGCUGACUUAGCACAUUGAAGAAGGCAGAAGCAAACCCUUCUCUGCAAAAAUGUGGAGGUUUCCUCAAACUGAAGCUGGAGCCAGGCUCUUCUUGGGUGCCCAGUGAAAGGGCAAGAGGCAAUGAGAACAAAUUGAAAACACUUCUUCUCUUUUAGGGUAGACCAACAUCAUCAGGUUGCCCAGAGAGGGUGUGGAGUCUCCAUGCUCAGAGAUAUUGGUAUACUCAACUGGGAUGAGGUCCUGCUCUAGAAGACCUCACUAUGAUGCUCUCCAGAGGGACCUCCAGCCUCAGUCUGUAACCACUGGCAGUCGUUUAUAGAAAAACUGAGUUCUUGGAGUCUUGUUUUUUGCUGUGAAAGCAUUUAAAGUGAAGAUAACGUCAACUUCUCCCAUAGGCUGCAGCACUCUGUACAGCUUUGCUUUUCCAUGGCUGUCGCCAAGCUUCUAGUUGUACCUGGAGAGACAUGCACGGUGGGCAAGGCAAGAACCAGCCCAAGGGGAAGGCUCCUACCCUCAGCCUCCUUUGGAAGGCCAAAAUCUGGGCACAGAUUUUCACUGGAGCUCUUCAGGUGGUUUCUUAACCUUGAAGAUGCUUUCCAUGUCUGAUGAGGGGCAAAGUUGAUGACAAAAAAAGAGUCAGGUGGAUGACAGGGAUGGAGAGCCACGGGGAUCAAGUGUAAUCUGCAAAAGGAGGAACACCAGUAGAGACUGCACAGUGUGAAGACACUGGGAGGCUGCAUGUGCUCUGCCUGCACCUCCUCUUAAACAGGAGGGGUUGGGUACCUUCCUUCUGCAGACUUUGCAGUGGGGCUGUGCAAGGAACAGGGAAAUCUCUUCCCACUUCCAAGAGAGAUGCCUUCAAAUUCACAGGCACUGCUGCACAGGGGUGGCUUUGCUGCAGAAAGCAGAGCACAGCAUGUCCUCCCGCUUAGUGCCUGUGGGUGAGGUGCUUUACCAGGCCCAAGUCAUUUGACAUUGUUCUAGUGGGUGUCUGAAGCUAAUGAAUCCGGAUUAGGUAGUGCGGAGGCUGGGGAGCUAGAUUUCUGCUGAAUAUACAUAAAGGCAAAUAUGAAUUCUAAAACUUUAAGGGAGUAUUUCUACCCUGGCUCAGUGCUAAUGGUUGAUAAAAAUAGUCACAAAUUAGUGCAGGAAUAGGAAGAAAAUUCGGGCUUUGUCUUUUUUUUUUUUUUAAACUGCUAAAACCGGACAUCUAUUUUUCUACCAGGAGUUAAUUUCUUACAUGCAAUAAUAAAGCAUGGAGUAAACUAUCAACAUGUGCCCUUCCCUGGCAGAAUAACUCCCACCUCAAUUAAGUAAAUAGGAGGAGGAACUGAAGUUAAAUUAAAAAAAAAAAAAAUCCUUUGUAUUGAAAAAAAUAAAGGUGAUUAAAUCAGAAAUUCAGCUCCGCAAGGAGGAUGUGAGCAUCAGGUUAACCCUUCUGUCUGGUUCCCUAGCACCUGAGUGCUUGCAGAGGUAAUGAGGAGGCAACUCGCUCUACUCUACAGAUGGGAAAACUGCAGUACAGAAAACAGCAAUUUCACUGAAUGUCACAGAGCAAAGCAGAAGUCACCCUGGUGAUUCAGAUGACUUCUGAGCCAAUUCCCAGCUGAAAUACAGCCCACACAAUGCUGCUUGGAGCACUCAUGGUUGAACUGCCAAGGAGGAGCAUCCUCUCUGGGUACUGAUGGAUGUGUGGCCACAGGCAGGUGAGGGCACUUGCUGAAAGGAGCCCAGUAGCUUUAUGAAUUAAUAUCUGGACAGUGAAUAAUACCUGGUACUUGAUAUUAGAUGUUGAAACCAGCAGACUGAGCAAUGAGAAGAUGAGCCCUUGGGAGAUUUAGCAGAUACAGCCCAGAGCUGCUGGGUGCAGAGCUGACUUAACGUAUGAGACUGGAACGAAAACCCUUUUAGGGUGCAAUGCUGUUGAAAAAGUACAUACUAAAAAGAAAAGAAAAACAAAAACAAAGAAAGAUGUGUUUUUCAGAAGUUCAUUUUUAAGAAUAAAAUGUUACUUAACUGACCCGCUUCUGACUGCUUUAGUCUUCAAAUGUUUAGAAAUCCUAUCCCACACCUAAGCUGCAUACAAUCAUAGAAUCAUAGAUUCAUUAAGGUUGAAAAAGGCCACUAAGAUCAUCUGGUCCAACUGCCAACCUAUCACUACCAUCCACAGUCAUGUCACUCAGUGCCAUAUCUACACCAAACUUGAAAACCUUCAGGGAUGGUGACUUCACCACUUCACUGGGCAGAGUGUUCCAAUAUCUUGCCACUCUUUUUGAUAAGAAGUUCUUCCUAAUGUCCAAACUGAAUCUUCUCUGGCAUAACUUGAGGCCAUUCCCUCUCAUCCUAUUGCUAAUUACAUGGGAGAAGAGGCUGAACCCCACCUCAUCACAGACCUCCCUUCAGGGAUCUGUAGAGAGCAAUGAGGUCUCCCAUGAGCCGCCUCAGUUGCUCCUCAUAAGAUUUGUGCUCCAGACCCCUCCCCAGCUUCUUUGCCCUUCUCUGAACACGCUCCAGGGCCUCAAUGUCUUUCUUGUGGUGAGGGACCCAAACCUGAACACAACACUUGAGGUGUGACCUCACCAGUGCUGAGUACAGAGGGACGACCACCUCCCUGCUCCUGCUGGCUACACUAUUUCUGAUACAAGCCAGGAUGCCAUUGGCUUUCUCGGCCCUGGAGGGCCUCUCUAAUUUUCCCUCUGCAUAUCCUGGUGAUGUCUCUGUAUUCCUCACAACUUGCCUAAGCCUUCUUCCAAAGAUCACAAACUCUUUUUCCCAGAGUCUCAGCAAAAGUACCCUGUUCAUCCACACUGGUCAUUUUCCCUACCAGUUCAUCUUACAGCACAGGGGAACAGCCUGCUGCUGUGCCUCUAAGACUUCCUUCUUGAGGGGUGUCCAGCCUUCCUGGACCCCUUUGCCCUUUAGGACUGAAUACCAAGGGACCCUCCCUCCCAGGGUCCUGAACAAUUCAAAGUCUGCCCUCCAGAAACCCAAGGCAGCAUUUUUUUUUUUUUUUUUUUUUGCUAACUCCUCUCCUGACCUCACCAAGAACUGAGAACUCUACCAUUUUGUGGUCACUUUGCCCAAGAAAGCUUCCAGCCUCCAAAUCUCCCACCAGUCCUUCUCUGUUCCCAAACAGCAGGUCUAGCAGUGCACCUCCCCUGGUAGGCUCCCUCUGCCAGAAACUCUAGAAACCUCCCAGAUUACUUCCUCUCCGCUGUAUUGUAUUUCCAGCAAAUGUCAGGUAAGCUGAAGUCCCCCAUGACUACAAGCUGGCAAUUUUGUGACAUCUGUCAGCUGCUUUUGGAAGGCUUCAUCUAUCUCUCCAUCCUGGACAGACAGAUGAUAUAAACUUCCCAUCAUGGCUGGGAAGUUUAUAACAGACUCCCAGUAGAAUGUAAGACUUGUUGGCCCUUCCCUUCAUCCUUACCCAUAAGGACUCAACAUUAUCAUUCCCAGCACUGAGCCCUACAACACAAAAACACUCCCUAAUGCCACUGCCCCUCCUUCCUUGCCUAUCCAUUCUAAAGAGCUUAUAGCCCUCCACUGCAGCAGUACAGUCAUGAGAGUUGUCCUACCAUGUUUCAGCGAUAGCAUUUAAGUCAUAGAGUCAUAGAAUCAUAGAAUCGUUAAGGUUGAAAAAGACCCACAGGAUCAUCCAGUCCAACCAUUUGCACUUCACCAAUAGUUCUCGCUAAACCAUGUCCCUCAACACAACAUCCAAACGCUCUUUGAACACCACCAGGCUCGGUGACUCUACCACCUCUCUGGGCAGCCCAUUCCAGUGCCUGACCACCCUUUCAGAGAAGUAGUAUUUCCUAAUGUCCAGCCUGAAUCUUCCCUGGCGCAGCUUGAAGCCAUCCCCUCUAGUCCUAUCACUGUUACAUGAGAGAAGAGGCUGACCCCCAGCUCACUACAGCCUCCCUUCAGGUAGUUAUAGAGAGCAAUAAGGUCUCCCCUGGGCCUCCUCUUCUCCAGACUGAACAAUCCCAGCUCCUUCAGCUGCUCCGCAUAAGGCUGUGCUCCAGACCCCUCACCAGCUUUGUUGCCCUCCUCUGGACACGCUCCAGGGCCUCGAUGUCUUUCUUACAGUGAGGGGCCCAAAACUGGACACAGUACUCGAGGUGCGGCCUCACCAGUGCUGAGUACAGGGGGACAAUUACUUCCCUUUUCCUGCUGGCCACACUAUUUCUGAUACAAGCCAGGAUGCCAUUGGCCUUCUUGGCCACCUGGGCACAGUCACAGUUUUCUUGUCACACAGUGGCUUCCAGCUCCUCCUGCCUGUUGCCCAUGCUAUACGCAUUGUUGUAGAUGCAAUUCAGCUGGGCUGUCGAUCUCACCCCAACCCUGGCAUUCUUGCCCCAGGCUCAACUAUAAAGUCCGGCUUGAUAGCCUAGAGUCUUCUCCCCAUGAACUCAUUGCUGCAAGCCCAAACUACCAGAAGUGUACAAUAAUUAGAGGGCUGCACCAAACCACGGAGAUUCUGUGUGAUGUUCCUGACCCAGGCCCCAGAGACGUAGCAGACUGCCUUGUGGGUAGGAACUGGUCAGCAUAUUGAGCCCUCCGUUCCCCUUAGAAAGAGUCAGCUAUGACAAUCACGUUUCUUUUGUUCCUGACAGUCUUGAGGCAAGGGAGUGGCUGACUCACCCUCGACAGCCCUCUGCAUGGACUUUCUUCAGCAUCCUCACUUACCUGUCCUUCAAGUCAGGGAGCCUCAUACCUAUUGUGCAAGGGCACCUGGGAAGGAGCAAUAGGCUGGGAGGGGUUUGCCAGCCACCCAAAGCAGGAACCUGGCCUCCACUCCUCCCUGCAGCUAGAGCCUUGAGACCCCUCAUGGUGCUUUGGGUGCUGGACUCUGCAUUACUCAUUAUAGGUUCCCUUCGUUGUCAUUCCCUGCAGGCAUCUUCUGCAGAGCCUUCUUCCCUUUCCUCUGACUUUGGCUACUCCCUUGGCACAACAUCAUGGCUGUCCCACUGCUGAAAGCAAUGCCCACUGCAGGGCUAUGUCAAGCCUGGAAAGAGUCUUAGGUAGACAUCUAACAAUGCUGUUACCCGUUUCGCCAUAACUCUUGGUGAUGGUCUGUGUUUCUAAAAUGUGAGACAAAGACCCAGGUGGAAAGGAGCAUGAGGGGCCUGAGCUAGUGGUUGCAUCAGCAUCACAGGAGAGCAGAGCAAAGGCAAUCUGAACCCAGGAUGUAAGUGUGGGAAUGGUGUAUGGGCAUCAAGUAGAAAGGCUGCUGGAGAAGAGUCCUACAGCAGGACAGUAACCAGAAAGAUGCACACAGAUCUGCAUAUUAGAAACCCCUGUCCAGUUUUGAUCGUACAACAUGGAGAAGGAAGCAACCUACUUUUAUCACUGUGUAUCCUUGUUCUCAAGCACUUGGAACUCUUUGGAGUUGAGCUGAAUGCUGCUCAUUUCUGGAUGUGUGCUGAGCUUUGAUCUCAGCAAAGCUGUGCGUGUGGCCAGAAUAACAUCACCAAAACACCAGAGCUCGCACUGUCAUGCUGGAGCACCCUCAUCCCAGACAGGUGCUUCUGCUCUGCCUUGUUUGUUUUUUGUCUGCGGAGAAGGAAACCAGAUGUGGCGUGCACGGUGCAGGAGAUUGAAGGAGAUGCCCAGGGCUCUGCAGAGCAGAGAGGUCUUCCUCUGCAGAAGUCCUCCGGCAGCAAGUGGCUGCGGGAAGGACACAGGCGAGGGAACGGCCCGGACCUGUCGCGGGAGGAUCGUCACCCCGUUUGCACUCACUUCUUGGCUGCCCUGCAUUUUGGAGCAGCUGACUCAAGAGGGCAGCAAGCCGACGGGCUGCCACCGGCUUCAGCGGCCAGCCCUGCCCCGCCGGAUCCCACCGACGGCCUCCGCGCCCGGGAGGGCUGCGUGUCGGAGGAAUUCGCCGGGAUGACGCGUGCUCCUGAUCGAAGGACACGGGAGGACCCGGGGGUGCUCUGCUGCCCUCUCCCCACGCCCCCCGGCUCCUGGCUGGGGAGGCAAGGUUGCCUCAAUGCUGCUGGGUGAAAUCUGGUCUCACCUCUGCAGGUGACACGAGCCUGGAGCCUGUCCCACCCUGAAACUUCCGUGGUUGCCAGCAUGACCACGAAAUGGAGGUGAAAUCUCUCCCUCCUGCUGUCACUGUGGUUACGGCUGCCUCCCUCGUGCCUCCAAAGGGGAGCCAAGGAAGUUUCUGGGCACUGAGAACACAAAGUACGUGCAACACACAAAGGGCUUUAGACCCUGACGGGCCUUCCUUGCACAGCCCAUUGCUGUUUCUCGUAGGGACUGAAGGCGCUUUGUGAAACACACGGAAAGGUCAACUAUUUUCACCACGGCUUGCCUAAGAAUCUCAACAUCCUUUCCUGUAAGAGCUGCGUUGGUGACUUCCUACUGCAGCACUGAAUCACAACAGCUUCCCACAGCAACCAGCAGUAAAAAUAAACCGAGCAAGGGGAAGUGGUUGGCUUCAACCAGCCAUUCCGCUUCCUGGGGCACACGCUUGAGACACGGAGCAGCAACGCCAAAGACAUUUAUGUUGCUGACAGCAAUGAAAUCCGCGCGCGGCUCCGAGCACGGCCCUGCCGAACACACACAGCCUUGCAGCGGGACGCUCAGCCUGCUUGAAGAUAACCACGUGCGCAAGCGCCGCGUCGGCUGCGCGUUUCCAGCAGGGGCCGGGCUUAAGAAUUAGCCUAAAAGGAGACGGGCGCGACGAGAACCCUCCGCUUCGAGGCCCCUUCCCCAAAUGGGCAGGGAGUUCCGCCAGCGCCGCUUUUGUUACGGAGCGCCGCUCCGACCCCGCAGCGCUCGGCGGGACCCCGCGCCCCUUCCCGCGCUUUGCCCCCGCCCCCUCC